rnacentral:rRNA from 1 species
UACGAAGGGGGCUAGCGUUGUUCGGAAUUACUGGGCGUAAAGCGCGCGCAGGCGGUUCUUUAAGUCAGAGGUGAAAGCCCAGGGCUCAACCCUGGAAUGGCCUUUGAGACUAGAGAACUAGGGUACGGGAGAGGUGAGUGGAAUUCCGAGUGUAGAGGUGAAAUUCGUAGAUAUUCGGAAGAACACCAGUGGCGAAGGCGGCUCACUGGCCCGUUACCGACGCUCAGGCGCGAAAGCGUGGGGAGCAAACAGG